rnacentral:rRNA from 1 species
UACGUAGGGUCCGAGCGUUGUCCGGAAUUAUUGGGCGUAAAGGGCUCGUAGGCGGUUUGUUGCGUCGGGAGUGAAAACCUCGGGCUUAACUCGGGGCUUGCUUUCGAUACGGGCAGACUUGAGGCAUUCAGGGGAGAACGGAAUUUCUGGUGUAGCGGUGAAAUGCGCAGAUAUCAGAAGGAACACCGGUGGCGAAGGCGGUUCUCUGGGAAUGUUCUGACGCUGAGGAGCGAAAGUGUGGGGAGCGAACAGG